rnacentral:rRNA from 1 species
UGGCGACGGGUGAGUAACGCGUGGGGAACCUGCCCUGUACCGGGGGAUAGCAGCCGGAAACGGCUGAUAAUACCGCAUAAGCGCACGAAUGUCGCAUGACAUGGUGUGAAAAACUCCGGUGGUAUAGGAUGGACCCGCGUCUGAUUAGCCGGUUGGUGGGGUAAAAGCCUACCAAAGCGAAGAUCAGUAGCCGAGUUGAGAGACUGACCGGCCACAUUGGGACUGAGACACGGCCCAGACUCCUACGGGAGGCAGCAGCG